GAUUGCAAUAAAUAAUUUUCCAGGUUGAGUGAACUAAAAAAUUAUCAUUAGAAGCGCUUUGAAUGCUCCAGACACAAGUCAAGUGCCAGGCAAGUGCGUUUUUAAUUUUUUUUGGACUUUUCAAAGACAAAAACACAUCGGUCCGUGAUAAGAGCAGAGGUGAUAAUAGCAGCCCAUUUUUAUCUGGGACUGUUCCAUACACCGAGAUAGAGUAAAUGGAGAAGCUCGGAGAAAUAAAGCUCGAGUUGAGAUUACGAGCAAUUUUGGUGGAUGCGCCCGGAUUGAAAAACCUACUUCAAUUCCGAGACUAAAUAAUAAAACAAGCUGAUCCGCCCCUCGUCACAUUAUAAUUCAAAGAAAAGCUGAUAAGGGAAAUUUCAAUCGUACUAAAACUGAUUAAACUGCGACCGAAACAAUUCGAAUUUUUCGAUUGCUGUGUCAACAGUUCAACAUUCUUUAAUCGCCAGUUGAUGCAAAUUGGUGCAAAGAACCCGAAAAAAUAUUUUGCACGUUUAUCAAAUCGUGCUCCCAUUAUUUCAUCCGAAAUAAACAAACCAAAGCCAAGAACAAAAUCUAACAAAUUUCUAUUGCCGGUUCAGUGAACAAAUAAUGACAAACAAAUCAAAUUUAUUGCAGAUAAUUUUAAUCGAACUGUUGACAACUUUUCUGAAUUAGAUAAAAAUUUCAGCGACGAUUCCGAAUUUAAUUGAUCGCUCGGACCGUUUCUCAUUCAUAAUAAAUCACCCUUGAAUAAUAGACCGGGUGGAAAACUAUCCGAAAAACUCAAGCUAAAAAUUAUGAGCGGCUUCAUUUAUUAUUGCGCCGAAUUUCCAUAAUAAAUCCUUGAAGAAAAAGAUCUGUCUAAUUUGACAUAUUAUCGGGAUUCAAACAGAAAGGAAAUACAAUCCCGACCCCGCUUUCAGACUUUACUAUCUCUUCAAGCUGAGCGCUUCCGAAGCGCAUCAUUUUGAAUAAAAUAAUUCUUCCAAGAUGUACUAAAGUAAGCCUUUGCUUUGGUUAGAGUGGCUGUUUUAAAGCGAAUUUAUGUGUCCAAAAUACAAACCAUCGAUACUUAAUCGAUAACCUCGAUUUGUUUACUAUUAGAAGAGACACACGACGGUACAAGGCCGGUAAAUUUUGAUCAGAUAGUGCUCCAUAUGUGCUAAUGGCUAGUGGAUAUUGAUUAAAACACAAAUGCGACUUAAACACCAGAAACUACACAAACACAACAAUGUAGUUGGCUCAGUUUAUACUUUGUUUCGUAUUUUCUCUAGUUUAGGACGCGUUAACUCGCUCUUUCGGUAAACAUUUUAAUUUAUGUUGGUUAUGUUAAUGAAAUUAUUUAAGUAUAUUUUUUGACUUAUGCAAAAACAUGUAUUUUAAACAUUACUAAACGCUAACAUCAUUUGAAAGUAUUUUUAUAUAAGAUUUUUAUAUAUUGUUUAUUUUUUUUUUAUUUUCUGCGAUUUAAAAGAAAAGGUUUGUUCUGUUUCCUCUCUUGCUUUACUGCAUUUUUUAUUUUUUAGCCAAAUAGGUAUUAUUUAGUCUUGAAUUGUUGACUCUACUAUUUAUUAGGAAUCAUCGUAUUUUUGUUCAGUCUCUAUUUCUAAUGUUCCGAUUACUUUUCUUUCUAUAAUUUUUUGAGUAAUUUGAAAUUCUCCAAGCAAUUAAAAAAUUACGUUUAAUAUUUUGCAAACUGAAAAUUGUUUCAGACUUUUUUUUCAAAAUUUAGGUUUUUUUUGUACUGUUUAAUAAGACUUUAGAAAGGCAUUAAGCUUAAUAUUUUCUACACUUUUUCCACUUUUUGAAAGUAUUAAUUUUUCUUUGUCCAUUUUUUAAUUCUAUAUUUCUCUAAAUCUUAAAUUGUGCUUUGUUUAAAAAAAUGUCUUUAGCAAGAAACACUAUUUUCUAUAAUUUAAACUCUUUGUGUAAGUAAAACGUCUCUAAACAACACUUUCAAUUUAUUUCAAAAUUUAAACUAUUUUUAUACUUUUUAAAAAAUGAGCUUGUAAGAGAGAGAUGUUUCUUCUUUCUCUUUCCACUUUUUAAAAAUGUAUUUUUUUUUAACAAGUUCUUAUUUUUCUUUUUUUAUCUCUUUUUUUUAAUUGAUAUUUUUGCAUUUUUUGUGCGAUUUUAAAUUCUCUAAACAAUUUGUUUUUCGGUUCUUGUUUUGGUUCAUAUUUGUUUUUUGUUGUUUAGACUGUUUCUUGUUUACAAGACCGAGUGUGAACACAAACCGUUGCAACAUCACGUAUUGAAAUUCCCAGCUCAGACUUGGAAUUAAAAAUAACAAGAAUAAUUAAAAAUUCCCAAUAAUUGCCUUCUAUUUAUAAUCGACUGUUGAUAUGAGCGGGUCCAAAAAAACAACCAAUUUUGCCUUUCUCUCCGAUAACCCAUCAAAAUGCAUUAAUAAUCCUUAACCCACCUCAACCGAAACCCCAUAGUAAACAAUAAUCGCGUAAACUCCGCAUUAUCGAAUCCUCUCCCCAUUGUUUUGACUGCCGUUCUUUUUAUUCACUCCGACCGGAUUAUUUAUGUGGUGUCCCCGAAAUAAACAGAGCAAAGCUGUACGAAUGAACUUUGCGUAUUAUUACGAACAGAACGAUAUUCUUUAUCACUUACGAGAGGUCCUGGGGUCAUCAAAAAUUUCACUACUUUAACCACGAAUCCCUCACGACACUCAUCAAACCGGGAAAAACCUCGACUAAGUUAACACAAGUGACGAAAAUUCAACAUGUUUCGAGUGCUUUCUCUCGUACUCCUUCUGGUUUAUGUGGCCGACUCGAGAAGUAUCGAUACGAAAAAUUAUUACCAACUUUCCACCACCGAUGAGGCGAAACCAGAAGAAUACGUUUUUUUCACCAACGACGGACUACUCCAAGUCGAGCUGCAACAAAUCGACCAAGAGGUCCCCAGUGCCACUCCCAAGCGGGAGAAAACGAGGUGUAUCGGACCCGCAACGCUCAUGGCUCUGUGUUUUUAAUUAUUAACUCAAACCCUUAACUUAUUUAAUCGUUACUUUAAGCUUUGUGUGAGUAUUAUAAUAAUUUAUUCAUCAGUGUGUCUUGCUUAUUUAAUUCUGUUCCGCAAUAAAGCAUUUUUAUAGUA